UGACCAAGCUAGGGUUCUCAUCAAGUUCAAAAAAAAAAACUAGGGUUCUCAUCCGUCGCCGCCAUCUGACCCCUCCUCCUCCCGCGGUGCUGCUCCCCGGCGACGUCGUCUGACCAGCCGCGGCCUCCGCAGGCCUCAUCUUCUCACGAAUCUGCAAAGGUCGUUGCCAUCGGUUCCCACCGACGCCUUGCUGUAGCCUCCCCGAUGCUCUCUUUGCACCGCCGCAUGUGCCUGUGCAUAUUCCGCAGACUCCCCCUCCUACAAGAGAUCUCCGCCACCGUCCCGAUUGGAUCACGCUGCCGCCAACCAGUGGUUCAGCAGGGAACGCUGCCGCCCGAUUGGAUCUUGGACGCCCUGCAAGAGCUCAAGCCGCCGCUCGGCUGCACGCAUCUGCCCUGCAGGUCUCCGGCUGGACCAGGCCACGACCCCCACUAGCCUCCCAUGCCCAACAGUCAGUCGGCUCCUCUGCUCGCUCCGGUUCACUGGCCGCUGCAAGUCAACGCCCAGCUGCAUCUUUGAUUGAAUCAAGCCUAUAUGGAUCAUCUAAGAAGAUCCAUGGUCGUGUGACCACUCAACUCGUAGACCUUCGCACGGCCGGUAGGCCGGCCGGUAUGUGACAUGAUCUCUUCAUUUCUUCUUACAUUGUCUUCUUUUGUUGAUCAACUGCAAGGAAGAGCUGACGAUAACAUUGAGACUGUCAGGAGAAGAUUCAGAGUUAAAAAAUAAUCAGAGUUUUUGAAGAAUCAAGUUUGCCUGUAGUUCAGUCCGAUGACUCUAAGUCUAAGGGCAAGGUUAAGAUGGUGUAUCCAUUUUUAUAUAAAAGGAUAUGGCACGCUUCUUCCAAAGAGCUUAUUCUUCACAGCGUCACAUAAAUACUUGUGAUUUAAGAUAGUCACACGUCACCAGAAAACGAUUCAGUAUUAAUCCAGCUGCAUAUAGUUGAGUACUAUGAUUCAAAAGGCUAGGUUGAGAAGGGGUAUGAUUUUGAGUGCAAAAGCAUACUAUUCUGUAGAACAGUUCAUUUUUAACAGCCUAAUGUAUCGAUUUCUCAUAAAUUAUAAGAGCUACGCUGUAGAAUUUUUUAGUAUGUCUAGCAAAUGCUCUUGUUGUUCAGGGUCUAAUUGGGUGCAGGUGAUGCCUGGAAUUGAACAUACAAAGGAUGAAGGGGGUGCUAGGCAGGCUCGCGCCGUCCACGUGUCGCUAUGAAUAGUGCCGGCGAAGCAAGCGUUGCGUCCCGCGCGCGCCGCGAGCAGAGAAGCGACCGAGAGAGAAAAGAGAGCGGUUCUCAAAAAAAGAGAGAGAAAAGAGAGCGAGCGAGCAGCUGUAGCGAGAGACAAAAGUAGCGAUGCCAGUGACCUAAACCGCAUCUCCCCUUCUCCAGAGAGAGAGAAGAUGAGAGGGAGAAGAAGUAAGGAAGGGAGGGUGAAAGAGAGGAAAGAGGAGAGGGAGGUGCGGCUCCGCCGCCGCCUUCUCUCCCUGCCUCUUCCGCGGUGGUCGAGGUGCAGCAGCGUGGGCGCCGCCAGGUUCUCGAUCCAGUCGGAUCUGGCGCCGGUCGCCGUCCCCGUCGCCUCGUCUUCUUUCUUUCCAACCCACCGCCUCCGAGCUUCUGCUCCUGCUACGUCUCCUUCUCCCUUCCCGCCGCGGGAGCAGUCAUCGCUGCGCCCUCGCCCCCGCACGCCGUCCUUCCGCGCGCCUCACCAGCCACCACCAGCAGCAGCGUAGGGAGCCAAUGGGAAGGGGGUCCAAGGCCAAAUCCUGCUUCAGCGGAGGCCAUGACUGAGGCGGAGGGGGAGCUCCCCAAAGCCAUCGUGGAUCGUGCUGUGGCGGCGUGGAGCAGGGGAGGAUUUGGGCGAUGGGCAUGAGGGAAGGAGCAGCGAGGUCAGAGUUCCAGGCGGUGCCGGCCGUCGUCACAUGUCCCCAGUCUAGAUCUGAGAAAAAAAAGAGAAGUGGGUGAAUCUUGAGGAAGAGCUUGGUGAAGAACAAGGUGUUCCUAAUGGCAAAGGUGGUAAUCAACGAUGAGAAAAAAAGGGACCGAGAUUGGAUUUCUGCUAGGUAUGUUCCUCAUCUCUCUCAGCUCUUGUUCCAAUCCCCACCCUGAUGUAACUGCUUCUUCACAACUGUUUGAUGUGUCUUAGGAGAUGAAUGCCAUGGAUUGGCAAGAUUCUUGCUAAGCUGACAACUAAUUAAACUAUUUGUCCCAUUGUUAAAGCUAAUCAUAGUCAUAUGUGGUGAUCGUCCGACUGCUGCGUAUGGUGGCAACCGAAUUCUUGAUGAUGAACCGAAUCAAAUACGUAGUAAAGUCAGCGCUAAAUCACAAGUAUAUAUUCAGGUUCAGUACACUCAAGCUGUCGAGGAGGUUACUCAGACCUGUAGAUUUUGUAUGACAAGAAAAUUACUUGAAAGAAAUAGGUACAGCCACUGUGAUAAAUAUCAGUAGUAAGCAUUGUAUAUGUAUGCAGUAGUAUAGUAAGACAAGAAAAAUACUUGAAAGAAAUAGGUGCAGACACUGUGAUAAAUAUCAGUAGCAUGCACUAUAUAUGUAUGCAGAACAGACCAUAAUCAUGAUUUUGCAUUGCUUGGACCAAGAUUUGUAUGCACCGAUCACCGAUUCUGUCUUUAGGGGUUACAGGAAAAUGACAUAUAUCAGCCAGUGCAACCACUAAUAGUGCAAUUGUGUAUUUACAGAAAGGAAGCAGGUCAACCAUGCAGUAUUAGAGUAAGAUACUACAUGUAAAAGUACCAUCUAAAAAUGACAGAUACAUUACUUCGUGAGAAAUCUCGGUAGGAAAGUAGUGACUCUUUUUGUCAAUGGAUUGUGUACAGUGAACUGGAUUAUGCAAUGAUCGGUUGAUUCAGAGCUCUUGUAUCUUGAGUGGCAUUCACCUUUGGGCAAUUCAGGCGACCACAGGGCGAGACUACCAGCUGGUGAAGGAGAGGAUAUGUAUUCGGCGUGUCCUGAAGAGGUAGUCCACGAACCGGCAAUGGAGGAAAUAAGGUAGAGACGACAAUAGCAGCAAGUACGUCAAGUGCUAGGGAUGUGGAUAUGGUGUGGCAUAAAGAGGUAGUCCACAAACCUCUGCUAGGCUGAUCUUCUUGCUCAGUAUAAGCCAACAAUGGAGAAACUGACCAGGCUAUCUUUCAUGAUCAGUUACACACCAAGCCUAUAUUUUUGCUGCUUCUACAUGUCGUUGUGAUGGUCAUUCGGCCCAUUUUCUUGAAUCUGCACUACAACGAGAGAUCUUGGCUGCUUCUUUGUGGCUUCCAAACUUGAAAUGUUUGUUUGGAAGUUAGUUUAGUUUUUUGUUGUAGAUUCAUAGCUUCUCACAUGUACCGUCCUCUUAGACCUUCAGAUUUCCAAAGAAACUAAAUGAAGAUAUGGUGGUAUGGUCUCAA